ensembl:misc_RNA Metazoa_SRP Metazoan signal recognition particle RNA
GCCGGGCGCGGUGGUGCACGCCCAGCUACUCCGGAGUAGUCCCAGCUACUCGGGAGGCUGAGACAGGAGGAUCGCUUGAGUCCAGGAGUUCUGGGCUAUAGUGCGCUAUGCUGAUCGGGUGUCCGCACUAAGUUCGGCAUCAAUAUGGUGACCUCCCCGGAGCGGGGAGCCACCAGGUUAUCUAAGGAGGGGUGAACCAGCCCAGGUCGGAAAUGGAGCAGGUCAAAACUCCCGUGCUGAUCAGUAGAAAUGCACAGGUCAACAAUAAAAUCUGAAGUUGACAGAAUCUUUUACUUUCAAAUAAUGAGUUCUU